rnacentral:tRNA from 1 species
CAAAAAUUAACAUAAAAUAAAUGUAUCUCACUUACGUUGAGAAGAUAAUUAUAUAAAUUAUUUUUGA